GAACUAACAAUGUGAGAUGCAGUGUAUGGAAUGUCAAAUUUCUAGUAUGAGAAAUUAACGAUUUAAGUCCUUCUUAAAUGAGGCCAUUUACCCAAAGAGGGUGCCAGGCCCGUAUAACGUUAAUGAUUACUAGAUGGCAUUUCCAAAGAGUCGUGUUGCUUGAUAGUGCAGCACUAAGUGGGUGGUAAACUCCAUCUAAAACUAAAUAUAACCAUGAGACCGAUAGUAAACAAGUACCGUGAGGGAAAGU
rnacentral:rRNA from 1 species